AUCACCUGGGGAUUUUAUUAAAUGCUGAUUCUGAUUCCUGGAGUGGAGCCCAAGAUUCUGCAUUUCUAACAAGCUAUCAGGUGGUGUCCCU
rnacentral:miRNA from 14 species